GACGCGGUGGCGCAAUGGUUAAGACGUCGGUUGGAGAAGUACGGGGGCCCGGGUUCAAUCCCGGGUGCGUCA